rnacentral:lncRNA from 1 species
ACCAUUUGCCUUAGUAGAUAAAUAUUCCUGUUAAAUCUCAAUAUUUGUAGAUUUCACCAAUAGACUUUUAGAAAUAUUUUUUUUCACUCAACAGCCAUUUAAGAUAUAAAACAUGGUUUAAUCUAUUUGCCAUAUAUUUAUGACAUCACUAUGAUGCCAUUUUUACAUAAUAGGAUUAUUUCUGAAGAACUGAAGAUAAAGCAUUGUAAUUUUAAACUUUAGGACACAAGUUUCUGUGACAUAUUUUAAAAACAAUGAUUUUAGAUUCAGAAAGUGCCUUUUCUUUGCAUUGCUAUGUCCAGUUUAAACUCUUCCCUGUCCUUCCUUCAAUCUUGCUUUGCUCACUUUUACACAAAUUGUCUUUCAUGUAAGAAAAGAGACCCUAAACCGGGAUGCGAAUUCAUUGUCAAAGAAAAAUGCCCCAAUUUAUUUAAUUAAUGGGUUUGUGGUAAUUCUAAAAUCUGAUAUACUAAUUUGGUUGUCAUGUGUUCUUCAUGAACCCUAGUUUUCCUUGUUAAAUGAAGGAGUGGACUAUACCCAUGCUAGUUUUCUUCUAGUCUCAACAUCACAAUUUACUUAAAUUAUAGACUGCACAUAUAUGUAGUGUCUGGUGUGAUUAAUGAUAACACUGAAGAUAAUAACAAUAAUAAAACAAAUUUACCAAUUGAUAGUUUUCUGAAUUUUGUGUUAAUUACCCCUUGUAAUUUGUAACAUUGCCACAUAUGUAUCUUUCUUUAACAUACUCUUUGGUUCUGUUACAUGUGGUUGUAAUCAAAGAAAUAUAUUUGUUUCUGAUUUCCCUUAUGGCAAUACAUUAAGUAUCUCAGACUGCCAGAGUAUGUGCUCAUAGCUACACUCAAUUACUCUAUUGUGUAAUACUCCACCACUUUAUUGGUUAUAACUUACUUGAGAUACUGUCAAUAGACUUUUUGAACUCCAAUUUUCUGUUGCUUGCUUUUAUGAUCUAAGCAUUUUUAUACACAUUGUUCAUGAAACAUUAACCAUCAUUUCCAGGUGUGCAUGUAGGUGUGGAAAUGCUGAGUCGUGAAAACAGAAUCUGUAUAUUAAGAGGCAGUGGUAUGCUACAUUUAUUAUACUACCACACCAGGAACAUAUGAAAGUCUUCUUUGUUCCAUGUCUCUACCAACACUUGGUAUUUUCAUUUGCUUAAUUUGCCUUCAUCUGGUGGAUGUGAAUUAACAUCUCAUUAUGGGUUUAAUUUGCAUUUCCCUGAUUGCUAAUAAAACUGCACAUUUUUUUUCCUCAUAAAUUUGUUGGCCAUUUGUGGCUGCAGCAAGAUGCUUCUAUGAUUCUGUUUCUUCAGCUGAGCACCCAUUUUAUCUUGUUGGUAGCUAUUCUCUUUUCUUACUAAUCAACCUUUGAUCUUAAGCAUGGAUAUCAUCAGCAGUUGACAUUUUAGGAAGUUGUCAUUUUAUGUUACACCAAGUUUAUCCCACUCCAGGCACUAUUUAAGCACUUUCCCAAAACGUAUGCUAGACCUUAUUUAAAAAAAAAAAAGGAUAGCCUUACUCACUUUAAUAAUACUUAUUGUAAUGAGCAACAUUUUCUGUGUAUAUUCAUGUACCCAGUUUAUCACACCUUUAUAGAAGACAGCUUACAGGUAAACAGGCUUCUAGGACAGCAGACUAAAUUCCAGGCACAGUGGGAACCUCCUGAAUCUAAUGGAACCAAAAGAAGAUUGAAUUAUAAUCCUAACAGCAGAUACCAAAUCUAAGUGAAAAUAUACCCUAUUCUGCCCAUUUGACCUUGAAUAUGUUUCCAAUGCAGUAAAAUGCAUAGUACGUAUGAUUGUGGGUUUCAGACAGCCUGUGCUUGAAGAAAUAUAUGCCUUUAACUUUGUAUAGGUUCUUAAUUUAUUCCGCUUGGUCCCAUUGGGAAGCUAACAAAGGUCUGUGGAUUACAUAACACAUUUGGAUAUGCUGGAAGGGGCCUCUCUAGCUGGUUGCCUUCUGUGCCUCCUCAUUAGAGAUGUAAGCCAAGGCUGAGACAUCUAAGCAAGCCUUGCAUUGAGAGUCCUCUACCCAUUGUUCCCACAUCUUCACUCAGCCUCAUGGGAUCUCAGAAGAAUAUAAAUUAGAGAGAAAAAUCUGCAAGCUUUUCCUUUCAUGUUUAAUGUCUGGGCAGAGCUGUUCCCUGCUGGAUAAUUUCUAGUUAUUUUCUUCCUGAUUUGAAACAUCUCAAGGGAUGGGUUGUUGGUUACUUCCCUUGGGAAAUAUUUCAGUAACACAACAGUUCUGUUUUGUUUUGUUUUGUUUUUUGUUGGUUUUUUUUUUUUUUUUUUUUUUUGGCUGUUGGAAAUUUGCUUUGUAAUUUAUCUUAAAUAAUGCUGUUCCAAAUAUUCUUCUUAAUACCUGUGACAUUGAAUGUGGUGUUCUUGUUUUCCCUUUGCAAAGACACAGCCUCUUCUAUGAUCCAGCUGGUUAAAUGUUUUGACUCUAAAUUGUUUUCAUCUCCCAGGUCAUCUUUAUUUCCUCUAACUCUAGCUAUUUAGUUCAUUUAAUCUUUCCUGUUAUCCUUCUUGAAGCUUAACUGUGCUUCCUGUUUUACCCAAACUCCUUCUAAUUUGGAUAACCGGUAAUCAAAGGCCUGCAAUUUAAUGUAGGUUUCUAGACAAGAUUUCCCCAGUAAUACAUUGUAAAAUAUAGAUUCAUCAUACCCUACCAUGUUAAAGCCAGAGACACAUUUUUUUUUUGUCUUAGAAUCCUUGAGUUCUCACUUUUCAUGAAGUUUUCUUAAAGCCCAAUAUAAUUAUUAAGCUUGAUAAGAUCAAAUGAGAUCAAAUAUUUGACUCAAGAUCAUCAUUAUGGAUAUUUAACAGGUGUUUUGACAUGCUAAAUGGGAUGUUUUAAUGUAUCUUUCAUGAGAUUUUAUUAAGGUCAAUGAGACAGUUGCAUACAUAGAUGAAUGGAACCCACAACAGAACAAAACACUUAUUAAGAAGGGAUACAAACUGGAGAGAUUGAGAAAGACAGCACUACAGUGUUUACAUGUUCUAUCAUUAAUAUGUUAAUACUGGCAAGGUGGGCUGGUACAGCCAAUCCCCUCAUCUCUGUACUCCUAGAAUUCUUAGAUUCAUAGAUCGAUUGAGUCUCUCUCUCUGUGUCUAUCUCUGUCUCUGUCUCUUUCCCUUCCUUUGUCUCUCUGUCUCUGUCUCUGUCUCUCUGUGUUGUCUAUAAAUCAUAGGGAUGCAAAUCGUUGUCAAUUAUGUGUAACCUAGGCCAUAUUUAAAUAAAGCUGGUUGCAGUGGCACACAUCUAUCUAUAAUCCAAGAAAUUAAGGGCUAGAGGUUAAAUAUUAUAAGUGUGAGCACACCUUGGCCUGCAGAGUAAUUUCAAGAUCAGUCUGGACUACAAAGCAAAAUCCUGUCUCAAAAACCAACAAUACAAAACUAAGCUACGAGAAAAUAAAAUGAAGUAAAAUAUAAAUAAGCUAAGGCAUAGGUAUGGGAAGAGUGAAAUUUAGCAUGAAGUAUCUUGCAGAUCAUUAGAGCUCAGAUGGAUAAGCAUACUACUCAACAAAUAUACUCUACUGUGAUAACAUGUUAAAGACAGUGAAGGCAUCCAGAGAUC